AAAGUUUUAGUAUAAAUAUAUAAGUAUAAUUUAUUGUCAAUAAAUAGGUUAAAACUUUA
rnacentral:tRNA from 1 species